AACGAACGCUGGCGGCAUGCCUAACACAUGCAAGUCGAACGAGACCUUCGGGUCUAGUGGCGCACGGGUGCGUAACGCGUGGGAACCUGCCUUUAGGUUCGGAAUAACUCAGAGAAAUUUGGGCUAAUACCGGAUGAUGUCUUCGGACCAAAGAUUUAUCGCCUUUAGAUGGGCCCGCGUUGGAUUAGCUAGUUGGUGGGGUAAAGGCCUACCAAGGCGACGAUCCAUAGCUGGUCUGAGAGGAUGAUCAGCCACACUGGGACUGAGACACGGCCCAGACUCCUACGGGAGGCAGCAGUGGGGAAUAUUGGACAAUGGGCGAAAGCCUGAUCCAGCAAUGCCGCGUGAGUGAUGAAGGCCUUAGGGUUGUAAAGCUCUUUUACCCGAGAUGAUAAUGACAGUAUCGGGAGAAUAAGCUCCGGCUAACUCCGUG
rnacentral:rRNA from 1 species